ACGUAGGGACCGAGCGUUGUCCGGAAUCAUUGGGCGUAAAGAGCGUGUAGGCGGCCACUUAAGUCCUGCGUGAAAUCUUGCGGCUCAACCGCAAGCGGUCGUGGGAAACUGGGUGGCUUGAGUACGGGAGAGGUGAGUGGAAUUCCCAGUGUAGAGGUGAAAUUCGUAGAUAUUGGGAAGAACACCGGUGGCGAAGGCGGCUCACUGGCCCGUAACUGACGCUCAUGCACGACAGCGUGGGGAUCAAACAGGA
rnacentral:rRNA from 1 species